GACGAACGCUGGCGGCGUGCUUAACACAUGCAAGUCGAACGGAAAGGCCCUGCUUUUGUGGGGUGCUCGAGUGGCGAACGGGUGAGUAACACGUGAGUAACCUGCCUUGACUUUGGGAUAACUUCAGGAAACUGGGGCUAAUACCGGAUAGGAGCUCCUGCUGCAUGGUUGGGGUUGGAAAGUUUCGGCGGUUGGGGAUGGACUCGCGGCUUAUCAGCUUGUUGGUGGGGUAGUGGCUUACCAAGGCUUUGACGGGUAGCCGGCCUGAGAGGGUGACCGGCCACAUUGGGACUGAGAUACGGCCCAGACUCCUACGGGAGGCAGCAGUGGGGAAUAUUGCACAAUGGGCGGAAGCCUGAUGCAGCAACGCCGCGUGCGGGAUGACGGCCUUCGGGUUGUAAACCGCUUUCGCCUGUGACGAAGCGUGAGUGACGGUAAUGGGUAAAGAAGCACCGGCUAACUACGUG
rnacentral:rRNA from 1 species